UGGGGAAUAUUGCACAAUGGGCGGAAGCCUGAUGCAGCAACGCCGCGUGCGGGAUGACGGCCUUCGGGUUGUAAACCGCUUUCGCCUGUGACGAAGCGUGAGUGACGGUAAUGGGUAAAGAAGCACCGGCUAACUACGUGCCAGCAGCCGCGGUGAUACGUAGGGUGCGAGCGUUGUCCGGAUUUAUUGGGCGUAAAGGGCUCGUAGGUGGUUGAUCGCGUCGGAAGUGUAAUCUUGGGGCUUAACCCUGAGCGUGCUUUCGAUACGGGUUGACUUGAGGAAGGUAGGGGAGAAUGGAAUUCCUGGUGGAGCGGUGGAAUGCGCAGAUAUCAGGAGGAACACCAGUGGCGAAGGCGGUUCUCUGGGCCUUUCCUGACGCUGAGGAGCGAAAGCGUGGGGAGCGAACAGGCUUAGAUACCCUGGUAGUCCACGCUGUAAACGGUGGGUACUAGGUGUGGGGUCCAUUCCACGGGUUCCGUGCCGUAGCUAACGCUUUAAGUACCCCGCCUGGGGAGUACGGCCGCAAGGCUAAAACUCAAAGGAAUUGACGGGGGCCCGCACAAG
rnacentral:rRNA from 1 species